rnacentral:rRNA from 1 species
UAUUACCGCGGCUGCUGGCACGGAGUUAGCCGGUGCUUCUUCUGUAGGUAACGUCAAAUAAUGCAGGUGUUAACUACACUACCUUCCUCCCUACUGAAAGUGCUUUACAACCCGAAGGCCUUCUUCACACACGCGGCAUGGCCGCAUCAGGGUUUCCCCCAUUAUGCAAUAUUCCCCACUGCUGCCUCCCGUAGGAGU